CCUACGGGGGGCAGCAGUGGGGAAUAUUGGGCAAUGGGCGCAAGCCUGACCCAGCAACGCCGCGUGAAGGAAGAAGUAUUUCGGUAUGUAAAGCUCUAUCAGCAGGGAAGAAAAUGACGGUACCUGACUAAGAAGCCCCGGCUAACUACGUGCCAGCAGCCGCGGUAAUACGUAGGGGGCAAGCGUUAUCCGGAUUUACUGGGUGUAAAGGGAGCGCAGACGGCUGUGAAAGUCUGGGGUGAAAGGCGGGGGCCCAACCCCCGGACUGCUCUGGAAACUGUAAAGCUGGAGUGCAGGAGAGGUAAGCGGAAUUCCUAGUGUAGCGGUGAAAUGCGUAGAUAUUAGGAGGAACACCAGUGGCGAAGGCGGCUUACUGGACUGCAACUGACGUUGAGGCUCGAAAGCGUGGGGAGCAAACAGGAUUGGAUACCCUGGUAGUC
rnacentral:rRNA from 1 species